rnacentral:rRNA from 1 species
CCUACGGGGGGCUGCAGUGGGGAAUAUUGCACAAUGGGGGAAACCCUGAUGCAGCGACGCCGCGUGAGUGAAGAAGUAUUUCGGUAUGUAAAGCUCUGUCAGCAGGGAAGAAAAUGACGGUACCUGACCAAGAAGCCCCGGCUAACUACGUGCCAGCAGCCGCGGUAAUACGUAGGGGGCAAGCGUUAUCCGGAUUUACUGGGUGUAAAGGGAGCGUAGGCGGGAGGGCAAGUCUGAAGUGAAAGGCGGGGGCUCAACCCCCGGACUGCUCUGGAAACUGCUAGGCUGGAUUGCAGGAGAGGUAAGUGGAAUUCCUAGUGUAGCGGUGAAAUGCGUAGAUAUUAGGAGGAACACCAGUGGCGAAGGCGGCUUACUGGACUGUAAAUGACGCUGAGGCUCGAAAGCGUGGGGAGCAAACAGGAUUAGAUACCCUAGUAGUC